AAUUAUGGUGGGCUGGAUGAGGCUUCCGAAAGGAAGGCCGGUGUCUAUACAGGCCGGUUACGCCAACCUUGUUCAGCUCACCACCAGU
rnacentral:antisense_RNA from 2 species